AAAUACAAACCGGAGACUUAAACUAUGCAGGUUUUUUUAGCUUCAUUUACCUUAAAUGAACAGCUUGGGAGUCAUUGGAAUGGUUAUGUGACUUUUUUCGGGUUGAAUGGUGGCCUAGCGUCUAUGAGUGGAAAAAACACCCUUGCAACUUUGGGCUGGCA